AUGUUUUUCUCAUGGAGGAUCACAGCUGUCAAGAAGACAAGCCCAACAUUCAGGUUUAUGUCAUGGCUGUUGACAUCAUUUAAAGCAAUCUAUGUGGCCAAGCGCAGAUCAGAAGGAGGGACUCUCUUCAUUCACUCUAAGGCUAUGACAGAGCCUCUCUCUUGUGCUCUGCAGUCUUCCACCCACGGUGAAAUCCAGCAAAUCCACAGCAAGCUGUAUACAUUGUCAUUGAGCUUUUCCAACAAAGCAUUCGGUGGACAAAAGAAAGAUGAUGCCACCAGGAGGUUGUUGCUGUUAUUUUUCUACUUGUUUGGAUAUUUUGCCCUUUGCAACAUCAUCUCAGAGAGCAUGGGAGCUGAGCCACCAGCAGUGAUGAUGGAGGCUGAGGAAGGAGUUCAGAGGACACAAGAGGGAAUACUUUCCAGCCUUGAGAAACUGCCACAAAAAGGGCAGCUACAGCUUCUACACACUUUUUUCCAGCAAAUAGCCCCAAUUUCUUUUUAA
rnacentral:lncRNA from 1 species